UUUUUUUUUUUUUGUCGAUAUGUCUGACGAAAAUACUGCUGCAGUUGUAAUAUCAACAAAGCAAAAUCAUUAUGAAAAAGUAAUUAAAUAUUCAAAAUCAAACUUUUGAAUAACGAAAUUCGUUUUUUUUUUUUACAUUUUAUUAAUUUAUUUAAAUUCGUAUCUUCCAGUCAGAGACGGAUGAUAAACUUAUACAAGACAAAGCGGGUUCAAUGUCAGAAAAUACGAUGCGAAAAUAUGGGCAAAUUAUAUCCAAAGAACUGGGAACAAAUGAGAAGACAGUUUCGAAAACUAUUGCC